UUUAAUACAUCUUCUUUAUUGUUUAGCAGAAAAAAAGCUAAAUAAGUUUGGAACAAAUAAAGGAUGAGGCUAAAAUGGCAGAAUUGUCAGUUUUGGUUGAGCUAUCUCUAUAAGUUAAAGUAUGUAAGUUGAUGUUCAUAUGCCUAAUUAAUAUAGAUAGUAAUUAAAAGGUCUGCUAGUCUAAAUUUCUAUUUUGAUUGAUCUUUUGAUGUUUUAUUUAAAACCCACUCUUUUCUUUGCUCAGCAGGCUAUUUUCACAUGGAGAAUGUUUUCAGCUGUUGAAUUCACCUCAGAUCAGUGUUGCUGUAAUUCCCGAUCUAUGGAAAGAAUAAUUGGAUGAGCGAGCAACGCCACAACUACAGGGCCUCUUCUUUCUCUUCUCAUAAUUUAACUGCGCUCCCUGGUCUGCUGUAUUCUCCAGUCCAGAGCUUCACUGCCCAGUGUCUGAAUUUAAAUUUAUAUAUUUAUAUAUAUAUAUAUAUAUAUAUAAUCUAA